rnacentral:rRNA from 1 species
CAGUAGCCACGGUAAUACGUAGGGUGCAAGCGUUAAUCGGAAUUACUGUGCGUAAAGCGUGCGCAGGCGGUUAUAUAAGACAGAUGUGAAAUCCCCGGGCUCAACCUGGGAACUGCAUUUGUGACUGUAUAGCUAGAGUACGGCAGAGGGGGAUGGAAUUCCGCGUGUAGCAGUGAAAUGCGUAGAUAUGCGGAGGAACACCGAUGGCGAAGGCAAUCCCCUGGGCCUGUACUGACGCUCAUGCACGAAAGCGUGGGGAGCAAACAGGAUUAGAUACCCCGGUAGUCCCUGUCUCUUAUAC